CCUUAAGUAAAGCUCGAGCAAUUUUCUUGUGCGCGCGCAAAUUUGUGUUUAUUGGUUGGGUCGGAAUUUGUUACAUGAAUUACAGUGAAAUCAGGUAUUUACAUUUUUUCAAACUUCAAAGUCAAUCGUCCCUUUGUUUUCUACAAUUUCUUGUUAACAGGGUCGGAAAUUGUUUACAUGGAAUUAUUGUAAAAUCAAAUAUUUACAUUUUGUUUAUUAAGAGUAUUGGUUGCCCGUGGAUCUUGUCUACCAUGUCUUGUUAAUUGGGUAGAGGGCAUACAUGGAGGAAGUCAGUUUUUGUGUGUGUUUCGUACUGCCUUCCCCUCUCUAAAUUUCUCCGUCGAUUGUUAUGCUGCACAUAAAACACCCACUUGGCGAUUUCGUCUCCCUCCCUAGUGGCACAUUUCCUCCCUUGGACGUCCAUGGCACGUCUGUACAUCCCAGCCAUAUCUACAUCCAAAUUGAAAAUUUCCGAUAAAGACAAGACAGCCAUAGGAUGUCUAGCAAUGAUAGCCUAAAGAUGUCCUUUUUUUUGUCCUUGUUACCUCCAGGAGACAUCCGUUAGUAUAGGGUCUAUGGCUAGAGUACUCGACUGACAAUUACUGGGACGAUGGUUCAAACUCACAGUCAGGCAAAAGUAUUUCUUCAAAAAUAAAACACACACUUACGAACACA